rnacentral:rRNA from 1 species
GUAAUAUAUAGUUAACGUGCCUCUUAGCCUGGGAUAGCCACUGGAAACGGUGAUUAAUACUGGAUACUCCUUCUAACUUAAUGUUAGUCGGGAAAGGUUUUUCGCUAAGAGAUCGGACUAUAUUGUAUCAGCUAGUUGGGGAGGUAAUGGCUCACCAAGGCAAUGACACAUAGCGGGUUUGAGAGGAUGAUCCGCCACACUGGUACUGAGACACGGACCAGACUCCUACGGGAGGCAGCAGUGAGGAAUAUUGCACAAUGGGGGAAACCCUGAUGCAGCAACGCCGCGUGGAGGAUGACGCAUUUCGGUGUGUAAACUCCUUUUAUAAGAGAAGAAAAUGACGGUAUCUUAUGAAUAAGUCCCGGCUAACUCCGUGCCAGCAGCCGCGGUAAUACGGAGGGGACAAGCGUUAUUCGGAAUCACUGGGCGUAAAGGACGCGUAGGCGGGUUAUUAAGUCGGGUGUGAAAUCCAAUGGCUCAACCAUUGAACUGCAUUCGAAACUGGUGACCUAGAGUAUGGAAGGGGCAGGUGGAAUUAGUGGUGUAGGGGUAAAAUCCGUAGAUAUCACUAGGAAUACCGAAAGCGAAGGCGACCUGCUGGGACAUUACUGACGCUGAGGCGUGAAAGCGUGGGGAGCAAACAGGAUUAGAUACCCUGGUAGUCCACGCCCUAAACGAUGAAUGCUAGUCGUCGGGGAGCUUGUCUCUUCGGUGAUGCACUUAACAGAUUAAGCAUUCCGCCUGGGGAGUACGGUCGCAAGAUUAAAACUCAAAGGAAUAGACGGGGACCCGCACAAGUGGUGGAGCAUGUGGUUUAAUUCGAAGAUACGCGAAAAACCUUACCUGGGCCUUGACAUUGAUAGAAUCCAGCAGAGAUGCAGGAGUGCUCUUCGGGGAGCUUGAAAACAGGUGCUGCACGGCUGUCGUCAGCUCGUGUCGUGAGAUGUUGGGUUAAGUCCCGCAACGAGCGC